rnacentral:lncRNA from 1 species
GCCUCUAUAACUUGACGAUCGUGUAACGUUUAUGUGAUCUAUCAACUCCAGUGUGUAGACAACAUAUAGGACUACAACUUUAACACUUAACAUCAUCAUAACAACAAGAAAUCAAGCAGCUAAAGUAUGGUCAAACCUUGUCAGAAAAAUCAACACUUAGAAAAUUCUGGGCUGCCCAGAAUUUUCCGGUCAAUGCCGGUCAACCCACUUUGACCUUAAAUAACUCUUAAUCCAUAAUAUAUAUGGACCUGAUUCUUUUUGGAGGUUAAAUACCACAUAACACGCUACACAUAACAACCUUUAGAACACAAAACACAUUAAAGAUAACCGAGAUAUAAGGCCUG